rnacentral:rRNA from 1 species
CGGUGGAGCAUGUGGUUUAAUUCGACGCAACGCGAAGAACCUUACCUAGGCUCGAACGGCUCACGAAAAGCUUUAGAAAUAUCUUCCGCGGGGCGAGGUGUGACGAGCGCAACCCCUGUCCUGUGUUGCAAACGGGAUGUCAAGUACCAUGGCCUUUAUGUCUAGGCUACAUACAUGGACGGUACAACCGCUGCAAACCCGCGAGGGAGAGCUUCGGAAAGAACCGCUCUCAGUUCGGAUUGCAGUGCAACUCGCCUGCAUGAAGCUGGUAUCGCUAGUAAUGCAUAUCAGAACGAUAGCGUGAAUACGUUCCCGGGCCUUGUACACACCGCCGUCACAUCACGAAAGUGGAUUGUACUAGAAGUCUGUACGCUAACCCGCAAGGGAGGCAGCGGCCCAAGUAUGAUUCAUGAUUGGGGUGAAGUCGUACAAGGU